CCUACGGGAGGCAGCAGUGGGGAAUCUUGCGCAAUGGGCGAAAGCCUGACGCAGCCAUGCCGCGUGAAUGAUGAAGGUCUUAGGAUUGUAAAAUUCUUUCACCGGGGACGAUAAUGACGGUACCCGGAGAAGAAGCCCCGGCUAACUUCGUGCCAGCAGCCGCGGUAAUACGAAGGGGGCUAGCGUUGCUCGGAAUUACUGGGCGUAAAGGGAGCGUAGGCGGAUAGUUUAGUCAGAGGUGAAAGCCCAGGGCUCAACCUUGGAAUUGCCUUUGAUACUGGCUAUCUUGAGUACGGAAGAGGUAUGUGGAACUCCGAGUGUAGAGGUGAAAUUCGUAGAUAUUCGGAAGAACACCAGUGGCGAAGGCGACAUACUGGUCCGUUACUGACGCUGAGGCUCGAAAGCGUGGGGAGCAAACAGGAUUAGAUACCCUGGUAGUCCACGCUGUAAACGAUGAGUGCUAGUUGUCGGCAUGCAUGCAUGUCGGUGACGCAGCUAACGCAUUAAGCACUCCGCCUGGGGAGUACGGUCGCAAGAUUAAAACUUAAAUGAAUUGACGG
rnacentral:rRNA from 1 species